GGGUUUCUACUUUCUGGGGGUACAGAAAGUAGAAACAUGACUCAGAGUUCCUGCCUCAUGGAGUGUGGGUCUGGGAGUUUCCAGGAACACAUCAAGGAAGAAGCAAAUGAAGAUGGAGUUGGUGGAGGGAGAGAGUAGGAAGAUGGCUACUUGUGGAGCAGAGUUUACAGGGUCCUCCAUCCUCAGUUCCAAAGCUAGGGUCUUUGGUAUAAAGUAGAGGGUUUCCAUUGCACCUCACUGACUGCAAAUCCUGGGGCUCAGGCCUCCCACUGGCACACUCUUGGCGUUCCUAGGACUCACUACUAUACAACACAGGUGUCAUGUCCCAACACCCAUGCAGCUCAUCUGCAGAUCCCAGAAGAGCCAAGAGGUUCUGAGGGCACCCUUAAUGAGACAAGGCACCUGAUGACACCUUCCCUUUAUACCUGGGUGUGUUACAGAAAGCAAGCUGUUCUGCGGCACCAGAACAUAUGAAAAGGAAGCGCAGUUUUCCACACACAGUCGCUUCCCGUUUCAGACCCCCAUGACUGCAGAGUUCCAGAAAGUAAACACUGUAGAUCCAAGCGGAGUGCCAGAUGGUGGGCUGAAGUAGAACCGGCUCACAGAGGCUGGAACACACAGGGCUGGGAGCUCCUUGCUCUCUUCGUCUGCUUCCACCUAUUCAGAUGUCCCUGAGAUUCAGGAAUAGAAGCUUUCACUGAAGAGACAUCAGGCAUCUAAGGAUUGCUUGACACAGUGGAAUAACAGGCACACAGGGGAAGCUUCUCCCAGUGGGUUACUAACAGAUGAAGAGCAGAAACAGGAAUGGAUCCUGCCACCUUAAUGCCACCUUAGAUUGGGGACCAAGCUUGCAGAACCUGAAGCUCGGGAAGUCAGAUCACGUUCCAAGAAUGGAGUUCUAUGAGGAGGAUUCUGAGUGUGUGUGUGAGAAAACCCCAAGAAACCAGGACAAGUGACUUGUGGUUUCAGUUUCUUCAAAGUCACAAAACUGUUCUUGGAUUAUGCUUUUGUGCCCCUCCCAGAUGUAGUGGUUUACCUCAGAUUAUUCAUUAUAACUGGCUAUUAUUUGUUUAUACACCUCUAUGGAAAAUCUAUGGCUUGGCCUGGUGACUGUAUACUUUACUCACGUGACUCUGAGUAACCCUCAACGUAUAAAUUGUCUGAUGCUCUGAACAAA
rnacentral:lncRNA from 1 species